UCUAUUGCGUUGAUCAGGACAGUAAGAAGUUGGUCAUUCCUGGCAGAGAGUAACGGCCCUGGCUGCAAGCCGUUGCAGAAUGCGCUUUUGAAAACCCCCUGAGAGCGGAAAUAUGAACGAGUAAUCUACUACUAUUUCCCGGUUCGCCUCGUUAUUGGCGCCACAAGUGGCCUUUGUUUCAAAGGCAACAUGGGUGGAACCACGAACAGCACGCUUCGUCCCAUGA
rnacentral:ncRNA from 1 species